GCGUUCGCUAAACAGAUACACGAUUCGUGUUCUGAUUAUUGUUACAUGCGGAGCUGGACGGGCGUAUGGGACCCGUAUCUGACCAAGAGGCUCUACAGGUUUCAUGGCAGGUAUAUGAAGCACGGUAUGCUGGCACCCGAAAGGCAACAGGUCUCUGUCGCCCUGCCACCUUUCGACGGCCUGCAGUUGUGUUUUGCGGAAACCUCGCCAGGAGCCGUGCUUUGAAAACUUUGGUGCCAUGAGAAACGCUGUAGAAACUUGCGCGGAACUAUGUUGGCGUACGGGUGAAAAAAAGAUCGGAAUCAACGUCCAGCGGUUCGGGCGAGUGUACUGUAUACGCGUUCCCGGUUGCGAGUCUUUUACGAUCCCGAUACGUCGCGUCGAGUCUGCCGGUUACUGGGGCGCUUUGAGGGUCCCCCGAGAUACCCAGUCCCGGUCGGUGAACUGAUUGGCAACGAGCGCAAGCGUCACUUGUGCUGAACCUCGAGUCCCUGGCGUUGCCAAGGAACCACACAAAUGGUUCGAGCCCUUUAGCUGUGUUUCUAUUGUGUGCCCUUAACCCGUUCCCUGUCCAUUUGCAACGGAACAACAUACUUGCGCCCACGUAUUGACAAACAGAGCGCUCCCUCCCCGGAUGCUAACAGUUCGUAUGCUUGCGUCGCUCUGCGUCAAGGACCCAGUCACCGACGAUGCGGUGCUCGGGGUCGCAGCGCAUCGCCCCAGUCAGGUGCACUUCGCCUUGAUGCUGCUGCUGCUGCUGUUGCUGCUGGUGUUCAUUCAGCGAAUUUGGUGAUGCGCUGCUUGCCACCAGCGCUCCACCUGCUCGACAAGGUCUUUCUUCUUACCCGUGGUUGGCAAUUUCUGCUGCUGCAGAAACGAGCGCAAUUGUGGUACCGUCAAGGUGGUCAGCGUCCCCGAACGCAGAUGAUCGAUCACUUUGUGUUCCAGGUCUGCCGCCACAUUCGGGGUGUUUCGGGACGAGGUAGCCGGGCUCCCUGCGACACCAUUCGUUGUCGUCACUGGUGCGCGGCUUCCAUGAAUUCGAGCAUUUGGCACCGGUGACUCGCCACCUGGGUUCCGGGAGGCAUCGCGGGUUGAAGACUCGUCUCCGAGGGAGCCUUGAGGCAUCGGUAACCCAUCUGCCGGCGAAUCACCAUGUUGGGUUUGUUUGUUUUCGCGGCCGGCCCGGCGAAUAUACAUCCCAAAACCCUUGGGUGCAGCGCUUCUGCUGGCAUCCCUGUCGUUGGAAGGCAUGUCCAUUUCGGAACGCGUUCCGUUCCGUAGGCCUGUGUCCCGAUCCUGGGCGUUUCUUUCCGAACCAGCGGAUGACGGAGUCACAGACGCUGUGGUACUUCUAGGGGCAGUUAUUGAUUCCGUCUCUGAGGCGAUGUACGUAGCGUCACGUGGCGCGGAGUAGGUUACAGCCCCGUCGGACGGCUGAACGCGGGACCCCAACGGCGCCCUGUUCGGACCAGACGAUGGUGCAGAUGCGUUCCCCGGCGAUGUCCAUUCGGGGACGAACGGCUGUGCCGACCCCGAGUCGUCUCGUGUAGAAUCAUCACCGAAAGAGACGCCCCGUUUCGUUUGUGGCAAUGCUUCAUCACGUGCGCGUCGCAAGCUUUCAAGUUCUCGAUCCGAUUCGCCUGGUGUUGUAAAGCUCGGUCGCAGCUCGCGCUC
rnacentral:misc_RNA from 1 species